GCUUUACACUGCAAGUCGAACGGCAGCGCGGACUUCGGUCUGGCGGCGAGUGGCGAACGGGUGAGUAAUGUAUCGGAACGUGCCCAGUAGCGGGGGAUAACUACGCGAAAGCGUAGCUAAUACCGCAUACGCCCUUUGGGGGAAAGCGGGGGACCUUCGGGCCUCGCACUAUUGGAGCGGCCGAUAUCGGAUUAGCUAGUUGGUGGGGUAAAGGCCUACCAAGGCGACGAUCCGUAGCUGGUUUGAGAGGACGACCAGCCACACUGGGACUGAGACACGGCCCAGACUCCUACGGGAGGCAGCAGUGGGGAAUUUUGGACAAUGGGGGCAACCCUGAUCCAGCCAUCCCGCGUGUGCGAUGAAGGCCUUCGGGUUGUAAAGCACUUUUGGCAGGAAAGAAACGGCCCUGGUUAAUACCUGGGGCAACUGACGGUACCUGCAGAAUAAGCACCGGCUAACUACGUGCCAGCAGCCGCGGUAAUACGUAGGGUGCAAGCGUUAAUCGGAAUUACUGGGCGUAAAGCGUGCGCAGGCGGUUCGGAAAGAAAGAUGUGAAAUCCCAGGGCUUAACCUUGGAACUGCAUUUUUAACUACCGGGCUAGAGUGUGUCAGAGGGAGGUGGAAUUCCGCGUGUAGCAGUGAAAUGCGUAGAGAUGCGGAGGAACACCGAUGGCGAAGGCAGCCUCCUGGGAUAACACUGACGCUCAUGCACGAAAGCGUGGGGAGCAAACAGGAUUAGAUACCCUG
rnacentral:rRNA from 1 species